ACAGAUGCUUACGGUGCCGUUUUCUUCCCAAAACUUUUCAAAGGAAACUGGCUGUGUCAAAACCCAUCACUGAAAGGGGAGUUUUUCAUUUUGGGGUGCGACACUAGUUCCAGGCUUGUGCGUGCUCUCGGUCGGUGCUCAAAAUAGGACCGAAGUACUGCAAAAGGCAGCAAUGCUCGUCAGUGAUAAGCCGCGGCCAACCGAUGGGAGCAAGAUUUCACAGAACUGCCUUUUGGACUGUGGCAGCUGCAAAAGAGGAGGUGCAAUAUUGUGGGCUGAAGAGAGGGACUGCUCACAGGGGAGGGAGUGGACCCACUUGCUUCCUCCAGGUGAAGCAGUAUAGCCGAAGGACAUAAGGUUAAGCGAAUGCCAGGCAAAUGAAAGAUGCCAGGAGAACAGCUCUGUUCCUGGAGGAUAAAGGAGAAAACUCUGCCCAAGCAAGCAGGCACUUCUGUCUAUACUGGGGUGUACUUCUCUAACGGGAAUGAAAGGAAGGUUUCCCUGAGGACACUGGAAUGCAGAUGGUCUCUCUGAGCCCCACUUGACCUCUCAAGUACAGGCUCUAGACUUGAAAGCAGGAAAUAGCAGGCUGCAUCUUCUCCUUCGCAACAAACUGUGAAGAGCUUCAGCAGGAGGCCUUGGCUUCAGGGAGAGGCAAUGUAUUGGAACACAUUGCAAAAAACACUUCAUGCAAGAAAAUGUCGGGAAGAUAUCUUAGGCUGAUGACACAGUUCAGUUGCAAAGCACAGUACUUGACGAGUCUCACAGAAGGAACCUGACACAGGUCUGCUGCGAUUUAUACCAGCUGCUAUAUAUAUAUGGAAGACUUGGGGAAGAACUACGGUGCAUGUUGCUGCAGCCUCGCCAUCCUUUGCUUCAGCCAACAUGCAAAGUCUUGCUGCCUGCUUGCUGGCUUCUUGCUGUAGUUACCAACUACCAGAAUCAAACAUCAUCUCCUAGCAAAGAAGAUUAGGCAUUGACAACGGCAAAGACCUGCUGCUGUGGAUUGUUCCUAACAGUCUGUUCCUGACUGUUUUCUUCAGUCUACUUCUAAAUGCUUCAGUGAUAAAAUGUCACCCUUUUCCCUUUUGAGCCAACUCACAAAUGGCAAGGGUUUUGCUUAUAACCUAAACUUGAAUAUAUCAUCCCAGUAUGUCAUUUUUGUCCCUCUCGUACCCCUGACUAAGCAGUUUUUUCUUUGAUGCCUUCCGAAGACAAAUGGGUUAAGCUAAAAUUUUCAGCAUCUUUCCAGUUCCUCACACCCCCCCUCGCUAUUUGUUGUAGCGCAUGAGGAGAAGAGAGCAAGCAUGUCUCUUGGGUUUGACGGCUCCCUUCUGCUUCUCCGUCUUCUGUGGCCGCUGCUUCUGCUGCUUUGCCUGUUAUCUGAAUGGCUGAUUUGCUGGCACACAGACAACUCCGGUCCCUUGGCGGGAAGCUGAGCACACACAGUAUUGCCAAGCAACACUUUCCCGUGGAUUGUGCGUGCCACAACUCUUGCUUGGGUGUCAUGUGCUGCAGUGUUCUUAUUUUCCAUCCAGCAAAAGUGCAUAUGUAUCGGGAUGUGGGAGGGAGUGGGCAGCAAUGAGAUCUUAGUGGGCUGAAGGAAAGUACUAUGGCAGAGGAGCCAGGUUUCCUCAGGGACAGUCAGAAAAGCAUAUAUAUUUUGCUCUGUUUCAGAGCUUUGAAUGGAAGCUGGAUUGCAGUGGAAUAUUCCAUGUCAUAGCUGCUAACGUGCCUGUAUGUCUCUCAUGACAGCACUGAUUGCUUCCUAGUCCACUACUAAUACACUGGAACAGUAUCUGUCAUUGCGCUCUACGAAGCUCGGCUGGACAUGGCAGGUAUGGCGCUGGAGGCAUACGUACCUCAGGUGAAGAUGAGGUACUUCGAAGAGGUCUUCCCCCCCAUUGAUUUAGGUUCCAGUUCUUUCACGUUCUUUCUUUCAGCAGUGCUUUGCCUUAAAUGAAGGAUAUUCCCUGUGCAACAUUUUACUGACCUCUUUGCUUUGAAACCGCAAAUCCUGGUUUGAGGAU